rnacentral:rRNA from 1 species
CGGACGGGUGAGUAACACGUGGGUAACCUGCCUGUAAGACUGGGAUAACUCCGGGAAACCGGAGCUAAUACCGGAUAGUUCCUUGAACCGCAUGGUUCAAGGAUGAAAGACGGUUUCGGCUGUCACUUACAGAUGGACCCGCGGCGCAUUAGCUAGUUGGUGAGGUAACGGCUCACCAAGGCGACGAUGCGUAGCCGACCUGAGAGGGUGAUCGGCCACACUGGGACUGAGACACGGCCCAGACUCCUACGGGAGGCAGCAGUAGGGAAUCUUCCGCAAUGGACGAAAGUCUGACGGAGCAACGCCGCGUGAGUGAUGAAGGUUUUCGGAUCGUAAAGCUCUGUUGUUAGGGAAGAACAAGUGCAAGAGUAACUGCUUGCACCUUGACGGUACCUAACCAGAAAGCCACGGCUAACUACGUGCCAGCAGCCGCGGUAAUACGUAGGUGGCAAGCGUUGUCCGGAAUUAUUGGGCGUAAAGGGCUCGCAGGCGGUUUCUUAAGUCUGAUGUGAAAGCCCCCGGCUCAACCGGGGAGGGUCAUUGGAAACUGGGAAACUUGAGUGCAGAAGAGGAGAGUGGAAUUCCACGUGUAGCGGUGAAAUGCGUAGAGAUGUGGAGGAACACCAGUGGCGAAGGCGACUCUCUGGUCUGUAACUGACGCUGAGGAGCGAAAGCGUGGGGAGCGAACAGGAUUAGAUACCCUGGUAGUCCACGCCGUAAACGAUGAGUGCUAAGUGUUAGGGGGUUUCCGCCCCUUAGUGCUGCAGCUAACGCAUUAAGCACUCCGCCUGGGGAGUACGGUCGCAAGACUGAAACUCAAAGGAAUUGACGGGGGCCCGCACAAGCGGUGGAGCAUGUGGUUUAAUUCGAAGCAACGCGAAGAACCUUACCAGGUCUUGACAUCCUCUGACAACCCUAGAGAUAGGGCUUUCCCUUCGGGGACAGAGUGACAGGUGGUGCAUGGUUGUCGUCAGCUCGUGUCGUGAGAUGUUGGGUUAAGUCCCGCAACGAGCGCAACCCUUGAUCUUAGUUGCCAGCAUUCAGUUGGGCACUCUAAGGUGACUGCCGGUGACAAACCGGAGGAAGGUGGGGAUGACGUCAAAUCAUCAUGCCCCUUAUGACCUGGGCUACACACGUGCUACAAUGGACAGAACAAAGGGCUGCGAGACCGCAAGGUUUAGCCAAUCCCACAAAUCUGUUCUCAGUUCGGAUCGCAGUCUGCAACUCGACUGCGUGAAGCUGGAAUCGCUAGUAAUCGC